rnacentral:rRNA from 1 species
UACGUAGGGGGCAAGCGUUACUCGGAUUUACUGGGCGUAAAGCGAGUUAAGGUGGUCUUAUAAGUCAGAGGUGAAAUCCCUCAGCUCAACUGAGGAACUGCCUUUGAUACUGUGAGGCUAGAGGACAGGAGAGGAAAGUGGAAUUCCCGGUGUAGCGGUGGAAUGCGUAGAUAUCGGGAGGAACACCAGAGGCGAAGGCGACUUUCUGGACUGCUCCUGACACUGAUACUCGAAAGCUAGGGGAG